rnacentral:rRNA from 1 species
CACGUAGGGGGCGAGCGUUGUCCGGAUUCAUUGGGCGUAAAGCGCGCGUAGGCGGCUCGGAAAGUCGGUCGUGAAAUGCCGGGGCUCAACCCCGGGACUGCGUCCGAUACUCCCGAGCUGGAGGCAGGUAGGGGAGAUCGGAAUUCCUGGUGUAGCGGUGAAAUGCGCAGAUAUCAGGAGGAACACCGGUGGCGAAGGCGGAUCUCUGGGCCGUGACUGACGCUGAGGCGCGAAAGCGUGGGGAGCAAACAGG